rnacentral:misc_RNA from 1 species
CCGAGUUUACGACUCCCAAACCCCUGUGAACAUACCUAUACGUUGCCUCGGCGGAUCAGCCCGCGCCCCGUAAAAAGGGACGGCCCGCCCGAGGACCCCUAAACUCUGUUUUUAGUGGAACUUCUGAGUAAAACAAACAAAUAAAUCA